AUCUCGACAAAGGGAAGAUGGGGGAACUACCGCGUGUGUCAAAGGAUCGACGGCCGUUUCAAGGCUCUGGUAUGCCUGUCCCCAGCUAUGUUAAUUAGUUUUACUUCAUUCAGUUUUCCCUUCAUGACUUCCAUCAAUCUUCUAACCUCCUCUUUGAAAUAUUUCGCCGAAGUACUAUUUAGAAGAUGAGCCAUGCAGCACGACACGCAAAGAAACUUUCAAUCAUCUCAAGUGGUCCUCUGCCUCCUUCGUGAUCGUCCAUGCUUACGAACCUGAUGACAGCCAGCAAUUCUAAUGGAACCGAUCCAGUCCUUAUGUCUUGACCCAAGUUCGACCUGGGUGACCAGCUCCAGGAUUUACUUUAGCCGCUACGAAACUCUACUUUUGUAGUUCCUGAACUGUUCCAAAGGGGCAUCUUUGCUGCUCUCAGACCUGCUACAAAAGGCUGAAGCUUGCUUCCACCCCUGUACAGGUGUCCCCAAGCCUUGGCUCAUUCCGAUCUGAUCCACCAUAAACAAACGCAGCUGUGAAAAACCUUAUGGUGCAGCUGAGUUUCCAUGACUGCUCGGAAUUGCAACUUUAUGAACCUCACCAAAAACACUCAUAAGUGAAAAGAUAUACAAGUACAAGCUUUGUCCCCCAACCUUUGCUUCAAAUUCUCAUCUGGCUUAUUAUAUUCAAAUGCACACAGGUCAGAAGCCUUAUGGCUGCACACUGUUUACCGAGGCCUUGCAUCAGAAUUGAAAUCUGAUCAACCACAGGUGAAAGGACAUACAAGUGCAAACUUUGAUCUGAAUUUUCGUAUCCCUCCGUAACCGAGUGCGCACGGGUGAGAAUGACAUUUUGAUCCGCCACAACCUAGUGUACUUUAAAGUACACUAGUACACUAGCUGCAAGUUUAGCCUUCCAUGUUUUGUAACAUGUGAAAUCAUUUGACUCAUGCAGAGAUAUACACCAUUUCAGUUGAAGUGUAUAAAUGCAUGCGGUGCCCUAAAAUGACAUUAAUGCAUUGGCUUAAAGAGUACAGCAAUGUUCCUGUAGAUUUUAUGAUGCAUCCGCCUUAUGCUAAUCUGAUCCACCAUAAACAAACACAAAGCUGUGAAAAACCUUAUAGUGCGGCUGUGUCUCUGGAUGACGAACCUAAGGGCGAUUGCAUUAAUCAGGUGGCAGGGAAUGGCCUUUUGCGCUGUCGACUUCUCAGAACGGUUGGUUGCAUAUCCAGUAUGGUUACCACAUUGAUUGUGCACACAUAGCCGAACUCUUGCAUUGCUACAAGCCUUUCAUCUGAAUGCUACUGUUUGUAAUCACAUAAAUGUGUUGACAAGUAGGAAGCAAUUCCUUGCCAGAAGUGAUCAAGGGGUUGGUCAGUGUAAUGACAAACCUUUAAAAUUUUCAAUAGAUUGAAAUAGGUCAAUGUAGCUCAUUUGAGGUUUCGUCUCAUGUUUGUUUUUACUCCUGUCUGUAUAAAAAAUAAGCACUUGCAGAAAAUAAAUCUGAGCAGAUUUUCUUUCGAUUAUCAAAAAAAGAA